AACGUGCUCCGGGGUCGGUGUAAGUCCGAACCGGCGGUGACAGUCCGCGAACUGCGAGCGCGAGGUCGAAGGGCCCCGCACCCGUGGUCGAACCGGUGGAACUCCGGUACCGACGGUGAAAGUCCGGAUGGGAGGGGCACGUG
rnacentral:ncRNA from 2 species